UCCGGUAUGGUGUAACGGCUAACAUUGCCGCCUUUCAUGUUGAACAUGAAACAUACAGCUUGGGUCGCGCGGCAGCUCGGGGUUCGAUUCCCCGUACCGGAA